rnacentral:rRNA from 1 species
GAUGAACGCUGGCGGCGUGCUUAACACAUGCAAGUCGAACGAUGAAGCCGGAGCUUGCUCCGGUGGAUUAGUGGCGAACGGGUGAGUAACACGUGAGCAAUCUGCCCUUGACUCUGGGAUAACUGCGGGAAACUGUAGCUAAUACCGGAUACGACACCUUGGGGCAUCCCAGGGUGUGGAAAGAAUUUCGGUCAAGGAUGAGCUCGCGGCCUAUCAGCUAGUUGGUGAGGUAAUGGCUCACCAAGGCGACGACGGGUAGCCGGCCUGAGAGGGUGACCGGCCACCCUGGAACUGAGACACGGUCCAGACUCCUACGGGAGGCAGCAGUGGGGAAUAUUGCACAAUGGGCGAAAGCCUGAUGCAGCAACGCCGCGUGAGGGAUGAAGGCCUUCGGGUUGUAAACCUCUUUUAGCAGGGAAGAAGCGAAAGUGACGGUACCUGCAGAAAAAGCACCGGCUAACUACGUGCCAGCCGCCGCAGUAA